AUAAGCUAUUUAAUUAAUUAUGCCCGUCACAAAGCACAAAAAGGAAAAACCCCGGAUGGUUGUUGACAGCACCACUUAAAAUACGAUAACUGCCAUUGGUCUGCUGGUCGGAGCUGUACUUCUAGUAUCAGAGCCAGCAUCUUGACAUAAUUAUUAUGACAUCCUUCGUAAGUGUGGGAAUUUGUGGGUUUUAGAUCAAUUCUGGAUGGCAUUAUUACUUCUCAAGAACAUGUAGUAAUAAAAACCUGCUGAAGGGCAUUUGUCUAUUUCGCCGACAGAAGAAGGGAGAAGAAAGGCUCCUUCCUUCCUUGCCGUUUCCCGUUCAAAGAAUGCAAUGCCUCAGCUUCCAAUCGAUUUGAUUGAUUAAUAGAUGUUGGAGAACGUCGAUCUUCUGCUUAAUUUUUGUUUGACAUAAUUAAUUGAUGAACAAGAUAAGUUUCAUUUAAUUUGUCUCAGAUCGUAUAUGCAGUUAGUAUGCAGCCGCAG
rnacentral:sRNA from 1 species